rnacentral:rRNA from 1 species
GUAGGAUAGGUGGGAGGCUUAGAAGUGUGGACGCCAGUCUGCAUGGAGCCGACCUUGAAAUACCACCCUUUAAUGUUUGAUGUUCUAACGUUGACCCGUAAUCCGGGUUGCGGACAGUGUCUGGUGGGUAGUUUGACUGGGGCGGUCUCCUCCUAAAGAGUAACGGAGGAGCACGAAGGUUGGCUAAUCCUGGUCGGACAUCAGGAGGUUAGUGCAAUGGCAUAAGCCAGCUUGACUGCGAGCGUGACGGCGCGAGCAGGUGCGAAAGCAGGUCAUAGUGAUCCGGUGGUUCUGAAUGGAAGGGCCAUCGCUCAACGGAUAAAAGGUACUCCGGGGAUAACAGGCUGAUACCGCCCAAGAGUUCAUAUCGACGGCGGUGUUUGGCACCUCGAUGUCGGCUCAUCACAUCCUGGGGCUGAAGUAGGUCCCAAGGGUAUGGCUGUUCGCCAUUUAAAGUGGUACGCGAGCUGGGUUUAGAACGUCGUGAGACAGUUCGGUCCCUAUCUGCCGUGGGCGCUGGAGAACUGAGGGGGGCUGCUCCUAGUACGAGAGGACCGGAGUGGACGCAUCACUGGUGUUCGGGUUGUCAUGCCAAUGGCACUGCCCGGUAGCUAAAUGCGGAAGAGAUAAGUGCUGAAAGCAUCUAAGCACGAAACUUGCC